UCCACGCAAAAGGCUGAAUUAAUGGUGGUAAUAUCAUUAUUAAUAGACUCUUCUGCCUCUCUUAAUAUAGUUUCCGAUUCACCAUAUGUUGUUUAUACAGUGCAAACCAUUGAAACUGCUGAACUUAAUUCCUCUUCUUCUAUUUUUCAACUAUUAACUCAAUUACAGAAAACUCUUCAUCAACGAACUUUUCCAUUGUUCAUUACUCAUACGUGAGCUCAUUCAAAAUUGCCUGGACCACUAUCUCAGGGUAAUCAUAAUAUUGAUCAGUUGCUUAUCGCUAAUGUUCAACUUAAGGAAACAACAGAAUUUCAUCGAUUAACUCAUAUCAAUGCCAAAGGCCUUAAAGAAGGCCUUGGAAUUUCCCGUCACCAGAGUCAGAUGAUUGUAAGACAUUGUCCGUCCUGUCAGGUGGUCAAUGUUCCCUCUUGGCCUAGCAGUGCUAACCCCAGAGGGCAAGCCCCAAACCAAUUAUGGCAAAUGGAUGUCACUCGUAUCCCUUCCUUUGGUCGUCUGGGAUAUGUGCAUGUUACUAUUGAUACCUAUUCUCAUUUUAUUAUGGCCUCUGCUUUAUCUGGUGAAAAAAUAUCUCGUGUUUGUUCUCAUUUACUAGCUUGUUUCAUGGUCAUGGGCCUUCCACAACAAAUAAAAAUAGAUAAUGGUCCUGCUUAUACUUCCAAUUCGUUCAAAAAAUUCUGUGAUGAAUGGCAUAUAUCACAUUUCACUGGCAUUCCAUAUAAUCCAACAGGCCAGGAAUUGUUGAAAGAGCUCACUUAAUAUUAAAACAAAUGCUAAACAAAAAGGGGGAGGUGGGUUUCCUAUAACACCUAAAGAUCAUUUGAAUAAAGCUUUGUUUACACUUAAUCAUUUAAAUUUUUGGACCGAAGAGAAUAAAUCAGCAAUAGAAAAACACUGGGAAAACGAGAUACCUGAAUCUCCUCUCAUGCAGCCAAUUUGGUGGCAUGAUAUAAGUACAGAUAUAUGGAAAAGGGGUUGGGUUAAAUCAUGGGGCAGAGGUUUUGCUUGUGUCUCCACAGAAAGCAGAAAAAUAUUGUGGCUCCCUGCAAAACGACUGAAACCCAGAAAUGAACUGGAAACGGGUGAGAUAUGACAUAGAUCCACCACUAGAGGAAAGAAUGGCGGAGCUGAAUAUACGACCUUCAAUGACCUUCAAUAACCGUCACCAACACAACUCAGAAAACCCCUCCGAUGACGUGGGAAGCGAUAAAGAAGACCUCGCAUGAAGCUGACAAGAUACUGGAGGGACUGCGCAUGCCAAGGACGUUGGCCAACAUGUUUCUAGCUAUGCUUGCCGUCGUUAAUACUACGAUGGGAAUAGCAUAUGGUGAAACAAAUUUCUCAUACUGGGCUUAUGUUCCACAUCCUCCACUAAACAAACUAAUUACUUGGUAUGACAGAGAGCCCCUUGUUUAUAUUAAUGACUCAAAUUGGCUUCCUGGGCCAUUUGAUCCUAGGGGACCUAUGAUGCCAAGUGAGAAAGGCCAUAUCAUUUUUUAUUAUACUGUAGGAGCAGAUAACAUCCCUAUUUGUUUUGGACAUGAGAAUCACUGUCUUAAAGUGGCAUAUCAAGGCUGGCUAUCUAUCUUUAAGACUAGUAAUACUACUCCUACUCAAGUAUUCUUACUGUCCAGUUUUAGCUUCAAAGACGCCGGGAUCAUUAGCAACACCAUGCCUCCAGACAUAUCCAUUUGCCAGCAAAAAAGAGUAUCAUCUAUUUCCAAUUGGAUCAGUUGGGAUAAAUGCAGGGGGAAUAAAGGUUGAGUGCUUCUUAAUAUUUCCCAAGGAAAUGUCACUGAUUGGAGCCCUAGGGGUUCAGCUCAACGCCACGGUUCCCCAUAUGAUUUAAGAGGGAAAAAACAUAAGCAUGGUACUACUAUCUCAACUGAGGCAUCUGGAGAUAUUAUAUACUGGCAUGAACCAGGAAUGACUCCUCCGAGUCCAUACUUUUCUCAUGGUCCAAUUCAUAACCAAAUAUGGAAAUUCAUGGCCUCUCUUUAUGAAAUAUAUGCUUGGAAAGAAAACUAUACUAGAAACUUGGUCAAUAAUGAUACUGAGCUCUCCUUUACUAUUAAUGGAACACAUUACAUACAAGCUUGUGUAAGAUUCCCUCACCUACUAAUGAAAGGACGCACUAACUUUGAUACUUAUGAAUUAUUGUUGAAUUGUGUUAACUGUACCUUUUAUACUUGCUUAAAUUCCAGCAUAUUAUUUAAUCAUAAUGCCAACUCAAUUUGUAUACUCAAAGCUCGCCCAGGAAUUUGGCUGCUGGUUCAAAUGAAAUGAUCCUGUCUGGCGAUGUCUCCUCUGACAAAGUCGAAAACAACUAGCUGCAUACUCUGUGAAGCUCAGAUGUGUGUCCAAUAAACAAAAAGGGGGAGAUGUAGAGAACCAGAGAGGACCCAGAGGACACUGACUUGGAGUAACAAUCCUGAGAGCGCAUGACCGGCUACAUGGCUGAGCCAUGGGUUUCUGCUAUCCAAGAAGUCAAGCUACCCUGUUGGAAAGAUCAGCUGGAGAAGCCAUGGAGAGAGAGAGAGAGAGAGAGAAAGGCUCAGCCAGCCCAGAAUUUGAAUCAAACCUCCAGAUGACUCCAGCCCCAACUGCUAUCAGACUAUGACUGCACAGGAGACCUGAAGAAAAUGCUGUAAGAACCUCCCACACAACUGUGAAAGAUAAUAAAACCUUGGUUUGUUCUACAGUAAUAGAUACAAAACUUGCUACAAGAGAUUAGAUGAGGCAGAGCACAAAUCUGCUGGCAAACCUGCCUGCUGGUGGAAUUAGUGAUGUUUUGUAGGAGAGAG